rnacentral:misc_RNA from 1 species
AUUUUCUCUUCCCCUCAUUCUCCAACCACUACCCAAUCUUUCUUCUUUAUCCUGCUUUCUCUAUUUCUCUCUAAAAUAUUGGAAAGUUCUCAACUUUUUUUCUUCUUGUUUGUAUUUAUGCCAUGGCUGCUUCUUCUGGGAGCUUAGAUACAUCUGCGAAUUACCAUCCAUCAAGUUUCAGUUUCUCCACACACUCCUUCAUGACCACCUCCUUCUCUGACCUUCUUGCAUCUGGUG